GACGAACGCUGGCGGCGUGCUUAACACAUGCAAGUCGAACGGAAAGGCCCUGCUUUUGUGGGGUGCUCGAGUGGCGAACGGGUGAGUAACACGUGAGUAACCUGCCCUUGACUUUGGGAUAACUUCAGGAAACUGGGGCUAAUACCGGAUAGGAGCUCCUGCUGCGCGGUGGGGGUUGGAAAGUUUCGGCGGUUGGGGAUGGACUCGCGGCUUAUCAGCUUGUUGGUGGGGUAGUGGAUUACCAAGGCUUUGACGGGUAGCCGGCCUGAGAGGGUGACCGGCCACAUUGGGACUGAGAUACGGCCCAGACUCCUACGGGAGGCAGCAGUGGGGAAUAUUGCACAAUGGGCGGAAGCCUGAUGCAGCAACGCCGCGUGCGGGAUGACGGCCUUCGGGUUGUAAACCGCUUUCGCCUGUGACGAAGCGUGAGUGACGGUAAUGGGUAAAGAAGCACCGGCUAACUACGUG
rnacentral:rRNA from 1 species